CUUUGUCCUGUGACUGCGUACCUUUUGUAUAAUGGGUCAGCGACUUAUAUUCAGUGGCAAGGUUAACCAUCUAGGGGAGCCGUAGGGAAACCGAGUCUUAACUGGGCGUUCAGUCUCUGGAUAUAGACCCGAAACCAGGUGAUCUAGCCAUGGGCAGGUUGAAGGUUGAGUAACAUCAACUGGAGGACCGAACCGACUAAUGUUGAAAAAUUAGCGGAUGACUUGUGGCUAGGGGUGAAAGGCCAAUCAAACCUGGAGAUAGCUGGUUCUCCCCGAAAGCUAUUUAGGUAGCGCCUCGGACGAAUACUACUGGGGGUAGAGCACUGUUAAGGCUAGGGGGUCAUCCCGACUUACCAACCCUUUGCAAACUCCGAAUACCAGUAAGUACUAUCCGGGAGACACACGGCGGGUGCUAACGUCCGUCGUGGAGAGGGAAACAACCCAGACCGCCAGCUAAGGUCCCAAAUUACUACUAAGUGGGAAACGAUGUGGGAAGGCUCAGACAGCCAGGAUGUUGGCUUAGAAGCAGCCAUCAUUUAAAGAAAGCGUAAUAGCUCACUGGUCGAGUCGGCCUGCGCGGAAGAUGUAACGGGGCUAAGUAGUAAACCGAAGCUGCGGCAAUGUGCUUUUGCACAUUGGGUAGGGGAGCGUUCUGUAAGCGGUUGAAGGUGUGUGGUAACGCAUGCUGGACGUAUCAGAAGUGCGAAUGCUGACAUGAGUAACGAUAAAGGGGGUGAAAAACCUCCUCGCCGGAAGACCAAGGGUUCCUGUCCAACGUUAAUCGGGGCAGGGUAAGUCGACCCCUAAGGCGAGGCCGAAAGGCGUAGUCGAUGGGAAACGGGUUAAUAUUCCCGUACUUCUUACAAUUGCGAUGGGGGGACGGAGAAGGCUAGGUGGGCCUGGCGACGGUUGUCCAGGUUCAAGUGCGUAGGCUUAAGAGUUAGGUAAAUCCGGCUCUUUUUAAGGCUGAGACACGACGUCGAGCACCUACGGGUGUGAAGUCAUUGAUGCCAUGCUUCCAGGAAAAGCCUCUAAGCUUCAGAUUGUAAGGAAUCGUACCCCAAACCGACACAGGUGGUCGGGUAGAGAAUACCAAGGCGCUUGAGAGAACUCGGGUGAAGGAACUAGGCAAAAUGGUACCGUAACUUCGGGAGAAGGUACGCUCUCGACGGUGAAGUCCCUCGCGGAUGGAGCUAUUGAGAGUCGCAGAUACCAGGUGGCUGCAACUGUUUAUUAAAAACACAGCACUGUGCAAAAUCGUAAGAUGACGUAUACGGUGUGACGCCUGCCCGGUGCCGGAAGGUUAAUUGAUGGGGUUAGACUUCGGUCGAAGCUCUUGAUCGAAGCCCCGGUAAACGGCGGCCGUAACUAUAACGGUCCUAAGGUAGCGAAAUUCCUUGUCGGGUAAGUUCCGACCUGCACGAAUGGCGUAAUGAUGGCCACGCUGUCUCCACCCGAGACUCAGUGAAAUUGAAAUCGCUGUGAAGAUGCAGUGUACCCGCGGCUAGACGGAAAGACCCCGUGAACCUUUACUACAGCUUGGCACUGAACAUUGACCCUACAUGUGUAGGAUAGGUGGGAGGCUUUGAAGCACGUACGCCAGUAUGUGUGGAGCCGUCCUUGAAAUACCACCCUUGUAGUGUUGAUGUUCUAACGUUGACCCCUUAUCGGGGUUGCGGACAGUGCCUGGUGGGUAGUUUGACUGGGGCGGUCUCCUCCCAAAGAGUAACGGAGGAGCACGAAGGUGGGCUAAUCACGGUUGGACAUCGUGAGGUUAGUGCAAUGGCAUAAGCCCGCUUGACUGCGAGAAUGACAAUUCGAGCAGGUGCGAAAGCAGGUCAUAGUGAUCCGGUGGUUCUGAAUGGAAGGGCCAUCGCUCAACGGAUAAAAGGUACUCCGGGGAUAACAGGCUGAUACCGCCCAAGAGUUCAUAUCGACGGCGGUGUUUGGCACCUCGAUGUCGGCUCAUCACAUCCUGGGGCUGAAGUCGGUCCCAAGGGUAUGGCUGUUCGCCAUUUAAAGUGGUACGCGAGCUGGGUUUAGAACGUCGUGAGACAGUUCGGUCCCUAUCUGCCGUGGGCGUUGGAAGAUUGAAGGGGGCUGCUCCUAGUACGAGAGGACCGGAGUGGACGAACCUCUGGUGUUCGGGUUGUGUCGCCAGACGCAUUGCCCGGUAGCUAAGUUCGGAAUCGAUAACCGCUGAAAGCAUCUAAGCGGGAAGCGAGCCCUGAGAUGAGUCUUCCCUGAUACUUUAAGUAUCCUAAAGGGUUGUCGGAGACUACGACGUUGAUAGGUCAGGUGUGUAAGUGCUGUGAGGCAUUGAGCUAACUGAUACUAAUUGCCCGUGAGGCUUAACCAUACAACACCCAAGGGGUUU
rnacentral:rRNA from 1 species